UUUCUGACAAACAUUCAUUCUCUAUGACAUCUGCUACUAUUACUACUUGCAGGCCUUUAUUACCCGAAUAAAUUUCUAUCACUGUUUUUCGUCUUUUUGAUGUUUUGUCUCAACUUCGAAAUAACUGCAUUCAUCUUAUGCCUCAGACAUGAUGCAUAUGACAAGUUGUGUUCACCUUAACAUAGAUUACCACAGAUAAUAUUACAGUACAUCUACUACAGAUACCUCGGGAAGCGGACUGCUGGUGGGAGAGGACAAGAUGAUGACUAUUCGGAGAGCCCAUGAAACAAUGAUGCAGAAUGUUCCUGGCUCUCCAUUGCUUGCUGAUGAAGGCUACAGAGAUGAGAAAUCGCAUGAAUAAAUUAGUUUGUCUGGUGUAGCAGCUUUAAACUAGUUAGAGUAUGUAGUAUCAUGACUAUAUAGAACUUUGAGCAAGCCUAUAUUUCGUAUGAAUUAAUCAUGUAGAUGAAUCUGUAAUCGAGCUGAGUCGAGUCGAGUGAAGCUAUAAUUUGAAAAUAGUACAAUAGUUGCAUUGCAAAAUCGUACAAGGUUUUUUCACCCAGACACUUUCUGGAUCCCAUAGCAUCUCAAGCUUUAGAUCAUUUGCCUCUUUAAGUUCUUUCUUUUUCGUCAAUUUCGCAAGGGUCUUUCUGGUACGUGCAAACUAUUUUUUUAGAUAGAAGAUUUUAUUAGUAUCUAUCUCUAUUAACGAGACAGACCUUUGUACCAAGUUGGUUUCAAAAAAGAAAAAUAAAUCUGAAGCCCUACAGGAUUCUUCCGGACCAACAGCAGCACCAAGAAUAUCAUGUUAUAGGCCCAAAUACGAGGCUUAUGUGAUUUUCGGCCCCAUUUGUCUUAACAAAUUUAAGCUUUCUUCAAAUAAUUAGUAUUGACACAAUAAGUAUACUAAUUUUGUAUGUCAAACGCUAGCAAAUAAUUCAUAUUUAACUGUAAAUUAAAAUAAAAGGUAAGAAUUAUCCGGAAAAGGUCAUAAAUUUUACUUUCAAACUUUUAAAUUUAACUUGUGAAACUACUAUAGUGAUGAAAUAUGCAAGAUUUAUGAUGGAAAACAUGUUUCUUGUACUCUUUUCUUGAUAUUCAACAUAUCUAUACAAUCUAUAUACAUUAUUAAAUUUAAAUAUGUAAAAAUUUGGUCGUAGUCGAGUAAAUUCAACUCUUUAUUCACUUAAAUCAAAUUAGUUAGAGCAUCUCCAAUAACUUCUUUAUAGAAGCUCCUAAAUUGAAAUUCGAAGAGAAUUGUAAUUUUGCUUGUUCCAAUAGAUACCUAAUCACUCUUAAAUUCCUCAAAUUUCUCUUCUCUCUCCUCACUUUUAGGAGCUACUGGUCACUCUUAACUACUCUCUCUAUCCCAUUUUAACUGAUGUUUGACUUUUUGACACGUAUAUUGAGAUGCAAAAAACUUAUAUCUACACUUAAUAAAAAAUUCAAUUUUUAUAUCAAAUUAAAGUUUAGAUUCUAAACUUUUAUUUGAUAUAAAUUUUAUAAAGAAUGAUUAUGUUUAGAUAUGAUUUUUUUAACACCUUAAAAUACGUGUAAAAAAGUCAAAAGCAGUUAAAUGGGACGGAGGGAGUAUUAUUUUAUAAUAAAUUUGUAAGCAAACAUUCUCUCUCCAUCCACUUUCUUUUGUACCUUUAUGCACAUGACUUACUUUUAAUAAUAUAAAAUACGGUCUUUCUAAUGUGUGCCCAAGGGCACACAAUAAGCACCAACUCUCAUGAAAAUGACUUCAUUUGAUUGGUGGAAUUGGUGUAAAUGCAGGGGGGGGUCACCAAUAUUUAUUAUUCAUCUACCAAUCAAAAAUUAGUAUUCACAUGGGAGUUAGUGACUAUUGUGUGCCCAUGGGCACACCAUAGAAAAUUCGUAUAAAAUAAAAUAAAGAGUGAAUAUAAAGAGUGUUGUUGAAGUUGAACCCACAUUAACUCACUAAGAGUCAAUAUUUUAUAUUAUAUUUAGGAGUGAGUUAAGAGACUAUUGGAGAUGCUCUUAGAAACGUUAACGUUAGACCAUAUAUCCGUGGAUAACUAUUCCGUCACAUACUAAAACUAAUAAUAUAUUAUUAUAACAACAAAAUAUGAUACUCCCUCCGUCUCAUUUUAUAAGUCUCUUUUGGGAAAAAAAAAACUUGUCUCUUGCUUUUAGCCACCAUGAAUCAUCAAUUUUGCUUGUUGCCUGCAUAAAUCAUGGCCAGUUUAUUUUGGAAAAGAGUAUGAACACCAGUUAUUUUGACUUUUGAGGUCGGAUUCUCGGUUAAUUUGGUAGCUGUCCUCCCAAUCUUCAGUGACAGAUAGCGACUGAGCAUGAAUCUGGAGAAUUCCUGAAAUGCAGGGCAGUUUAAAAAAACCAUGCAAUUGAGCUCUAAGUCCUCUGAACUUGUUGCAACAUGAGACUUCUUUUUGGUAGCUGGCCUCUCAAUCUUUAGUGACAGAUAGCGACUGAGCGUGUCAUUUACAACCUGAUGCCAAUAACAUUUGUCCACGUGAAUCCGAAGAAUUUCCUGAAAUGCAGCUUUGUUCAGAGGGUCAGGUCUGACAAGUAAUUGUUGUAGCGAUCUACCUGUUAGUAAUUUUUUAUAACGAAAAGACAUCAACCAAAUUUUUAUGUGCAUGAAGGGGAGCCAUUACUCUAACUGCCUUAGAUACCCGGUCUAGACAUGUUGGCAACAAUCACUUACAAUCACUUGUCAGGAUCAUCUCCAUCGUUGAAACAAUAACAGAAUGACACUUGUGGCGGAAUUGAAUGCAUCAAUGCAGAUCUUACCGGUAUGCAUAUAGUGAAAACUGAUCUCUUUGUCAUGUCAGUUUUGUAUUCAGAGCAGAUACAGACAUAUGGGGAGUGAAAGAUGCCUACGGGCAACUUUUUAACUUCAUCACAUUGAAGCGUGAAUAAACGCCCUGCUGGUCCUCAGAUUUUUGAGUACGAAGGUAAGUGAAAUGAAAUUUAUAGAGUUUCGGUCACUAGUUCCAAUUUUAAUAAAUCAAAUAAUGAAAUAUUUAGGUUAUUUUAUUGACGGUUCUUGAAUUGUUUCAAGGGCUAAAAUAUGUGAAACAUACUAGUUAUUUACAAUAUUUAUGGAUGGCUCUCAAAUUUUAAGGAUGAUAACAAUUAAUAAAUGAUUAACUAAAAAGUAUGUGCAAGAGAUUCCAAUGACUUUAGUUCUAUUGCUAAUAAGAAGUGAAACAUGCAAUUUAUUGUUCGACGCAAUCUUAUCUUAUCAGAGCAUUUUUAAUGAUAUUGAUUAUAAGCGUAAGCUAAAUUGAGAUUAUGAUAUAUUAUAUAAAAUCGGUUGAAUUUUUAAAAUAUUUUACUUAGAUGAUAUUGAUUAUCUUUUCACUUGUUUUUUUCUCUAAAAAGGGCUUUGAGAUCAAAACAAAUAUAAAUGUUAUUAUUUUCUCCAUCUGUCAUCUGAUUUUUUUAUUUAAAGUUUGAGAGUUCGAAUUCGGAAAUCCGGACAACAUAUACCGUGGAGGGUAAAAACGGUAGUGUCGAAAUCCAGCAUCUCGUUAAUUUUAAAUUAAAAUACACAGCAGCAUUUUGGCUACUGUUAAAUCGAAAUAUAAGNACAGACAUAUGGGGAGUGAAAGAUGCCUACGGGCAACUUUUUAACUUCAUCACAUUGAAGCGUGAAUAAACGCCCUGCUGGUCCUCAGAUUUUUGAGUGCGAAGGUAAGUGAAAUAAAAUUUAUAGAGUUUCGGUCACUAGUUCCAAUUUUAAUAAAUCAAAUAAUGAAAUAUUUAGGUUAUUUUAUUGACGGUUCUUGAAUUGUUUCAAGGGCUAAAAUAUGUGAAACAUACUAGUUAUUUACAAUAUUUAUGGAUGGCUCUCAAAUUUUAAGGAUGAUAAUAAUUAAUAAAUGAUUAACUAAAAAGUAUGUGCAAGAGAUUCCAAUGACUUUAGUUCUAUUGCUAAUAAGAAGUGAAACAUGCAAUUUAUUGUUCGACGCAAUCUUAUCUUAUCAGAGCAUUUUUAAUGAUAUUGAUUAUAAGCGUAAGCUAAAUUGAGAUUAUGAUAUAUUAUAUAAAAUCGGUUGAAUUUUUAAAAUAUUUUACUUAGAUGAUAUUGAUUAUCUUUUCACUUGUUUUUUUCUCUAAAAAGGGCUUUGAGAUCAAAACAAAUAUAAAUGUUAUUAUUUUCUCCAUCUGUCAUCUGAUUUUUUUAUUUAAAGUUUGAGAGUUCGAAUUCGGAAAUCCGGACAACAUAUACCGUGGAGGGUAAAAACGGUAGUGUCGAAAUCCAGCAUCUCGUUAAUUUUAAAUUAAAAUACACAGCAGCAUUUUGGCUACUGUUAAAUCGAAAUAUAAGAUAUUUAACAUGAGUAGGAGAAUCGAGACCCCGUGAAGCACAUGGGCACAUAAAAUAAAGGAGUGAAUAUAAUCUUCAAAGUUAGAACACCGCACUUGCAGCUUUUUUCAUGUAAAAACGAGAACUUGUCUGCAUCCAUCUCUAAAGCGUAUUCGUAAAUUUGUAGGCGAGCAUAGCUCUGUCACAGCUGAAUAUUUGUGCACAUAAAGAGCCAUCAAUUAUUAAUAUGGUUGUAGUCAAUCAAAAUUUAUACAUAAUUCUGUCAAAAAAAAUAUACAUAAUUAUAAAAUAAUUAUUAAUAUAUGUCUAUGACUAUGAGCAUACAGAAAAUCCGUUAAUUUAAUAACAAGAAAAUUAUGAAAUUAUAAAAAUUGUAAUGGGUAUAUAAUUGUCAUAUGGCAUUGUAUUUCUAUCUAGAAUAAAAAAUAAAAAUUACCGAUGAUUUACAUCAGGAUCCGCAAUAUUCAUGAGUAUGCAAGUAGUGGUAGAUGCCUGUGAAAAAGAAAACAAAGUAGUGGUAGAUGCCAACUUAAUUGAAGCUACCUACCAGCAUCUUAUUCAUGCAUUUAUAUCGGUAGUCUUUAUUUUCUUUCAAAGAAGCGCAUCUCACUAUCCAGUGGCGGAUCUGACUAUGAAGUUAAGGGGGGUCAAUUUUUUUGUAAAAAAAAUUAAAAGGGGUCACAAAAAAAUUAAGGGGGGUCAGUUGCCCCCUCUUGCCCCUUUUAAGAUCCGCCUCUGUCACUAUCGGCAGUGAAUUGCAUGUUUCCAGGUCGGUAUUACUUUCAACCGUUUUGAAAGAACGGUCCUCUGUUUCUGAUGUUUAUGUAAUGUACCGUCAUAUAUUUUAGUACUCUUUCCGUAUUUUUUUAAUUAUCAUAUUUGGUUUGUACCCGUUAAAAUGAUCAAAGUUGAUUAAAUUUAUUAAUAUUUUAUCAAUUGAUAAAAUUAAAAAUAUGUCUCCGAAAAAAACUUUUAAUCUACCUUAGAGUGUAAUUUUCAGUUUUUUAAAAUAAUAAAAGAGUGGCUUAUAAUCUUUGGUAAAAAAUUAGUCAAUUUGACUAACAAAAAUUAAAAUGUGACAAUUAAAAAGAGACGGAGUGAGUAAUGUUUAUGAAAAUUUUAAAAUAUGAUUUCUAACUAAUAAUAAAUGUUUCUUAUAUUUUAAGUUACAUAUUAAUCUUGUUCAUAAUCUUUAUUUAAAAAUUUCAAAUUUCUAAUCACAAACUAUUUACUUGGAUGAUUUGUAACUUCCCGAUAAGCAAAGACACAAUGCAAUUUUAUUGACACAUACCGCAUCUGCGCUUUGGGAGGACUAUGACUUAUGACUCGUCUUUCCUUCCGUUUGGUUCAAAAAGACUAUUCCAUUAUAAAAGUUUCCAGAGAAUUGACUUUUCCUAUUAAGUAAUGAAUGAAUUGAAAUGACCUAAUCGAUGAUGACUCUUCGCAUUUUAUGCAAGUAAAUAUACUGUAGUCAAAUUAUAAUUUACAUGCAUUUUAGAAACUCAACCCCUAUUUAUACAACUGCUAAAUCAUCGUCAAAGUUCGACCUGGCUCACAGGGGUGGCAAUUUCGAGUAAGGGGUUGUGUUUGAGUCAGCAAUCGGGUUGAUUUCAGGUCAAAUUAAAAUCACUUAAAAUUAAAUAAAACUGAAAAUUGAAAUUAUUAGGAACGAAAUUCUAAUUUGGGGUCCAUUUCGUGUGAAUCAGAUGAUUUUCGGAUCACUUUUGGGUUUUGUCUCAGUAAAUCGGGUUGCGGAUUCGGGUCGAGUUCGAAUCGGCCUCGGGCCCUGUCUGAUAUCGUCACCCCUACAUUGACCAGGAAAUAUUACCUAUUUAAUAUAUUCAUCAAAUACUUUCUCUAAUAUAUAUUACAUAGAAUAUUUGGGGGUUUUCACGUUAUUUCAAUAAAUUUUACUCUAUAGUUAAACUAAUUUGCUUCUCUUAAGAAAAUUUUGAUGAGAAAUAUGUAUUUUAAUCUCACAGUGAGAAUAUCCCAAAUUCGUGAAAAAUUUAAAUUGGAAAAUUUUCUUUAAAAUGUUUGGAAAUCCUAACAAACAUGCAAUCGAAAGCAUUCAAUAGUAUUAAAAGGUAGGAAUUUGUCUUGAUUAGUGAAUACACAAAAUAAAGAUCGGUUCGAUUGAUCAGAAAUUAAUCAGAUAAUCAGUUAAAAUAACUAAAAAUUUAAUAUUUUAGCAUGUUAUAAAAUAAAAAAUAAUCGAUGAUUAAUAACGAUAAUUACUGAAUUUUAGAACAAUAAUGAAUAAGCCUUUUGAAACAUGUGACACCAAAAAGAAUUCAAAUAUUUAAGGGCCCAUUUGUUAACGGGUUAACGAAACAACCUCAACUGGAUGAGCGCAGAAUAUGUCAUUAAGUUUGUUUGACAAAUUUUUUAAAUAGCUGGACGAACCAUAAAUCAACUGGACGAAACACCUCAAAAAUAUGAGGGUCUCUCGUCCAGGAGUCUACACUCUCCUAUUAUUCUCUUUACUGCUUUCAUGUUGGAUAACUAUGCAUGUUAUAUUUUGAUUUUUAAUAAUAUAAUAAUCUUUUAAAUAGAAAUUUUCGUCUUAUAAUUAAAUUAUUUUAAUCAUGUGCACUAUCAUUAAUAGGUCUAUAAUUAUAUAUGAUAGAAUACUCGAUUACACAAUAAUCAAAUAAUUAUAAAUAAUUGUAAGGAUUAAAUAUAUAUACAAUAUAAUAAUAAUAAUAAUAAUAAUUGAUAUAUUAUCUUCAUUUAUAAUAAAAAAUUAAAACUCAAGAAUUAUUAAUUUAAUAAUCAAAAUAGCAAAAUCUAUUGUAUGGGCUAAUGGAGGGUUUUUAGAAAUACCAACACUAAUAAUAAUAGAAAUAUUGUUCAGAAGAAUCUAAUAAUUUAACAAACAACAUUGUUCGUGCAGUAUUCAGAUUUAUUAAUCAUUCAGAAUCUUGAUGAUCCAGAAAAAUUUGUUCAGAUUUAACAAAUGACCCCUAAGUCUCCACUAACAAAAACACACCAUGUUAAAUCCUUAUUCCACAAAAUCAAGUAAAACCCAAUUGAACGCAUGUCUUCAGAGUCAAGAAACAACAUGAAUGAUAAAUUUGAUAUAAAAAAAAACAUGAAUGAUAAAUUAGUAAUCAACCCAAAACAUUAAAUUUGGUAAAUUAACCAAAACCUAUAUUUUAAUACCCAGAACAAAAUAUAUAACAAAAGGCAUGCACGUUUAUAUAACACCAACCAAUAUCUCCAUGUCCACAAAUCCUUCACACCCUCUCCCUAAUUUAAUCUUUCGCCUCUAACACCCCCCAUUCUUCAUCUUAAACCCCCCUCUACCCCCACAAUAUUACUAACAUUUUUCGUGUCUAUAGGCCGGAAAAAAUAAAAAUUCCGAUGCUUAAGAUUUUAUAUUAUUUGACGGAGCAUCCGUUGAUCAUUAAUUUCCGGUGUAGAUAAAUUUUGAUCUGUCAUUUGUUCCCUGACCUACUCACCCUCUUCCCUCUCCUCUCAUCUUCACGACCUAACUUGAGAUGAAAUUAAUUAUUUCCUUAUUAUUGUUCACUUCUUGCAAGUGCCAAAUUCUGAAUCUAUCAAAGAGGAUGUUUUUCUGCGUAUGUUUGUGUAAGUGGUACUCAUACAUCAGUUAUUCUUCCAGGAGUAUAUUUAACAUAGUUGAUGAUGACCCUACCCCAAGAGAAGAAGUUUUUAUGUAUGGCCAAAGUUUGGUUGAGAAAAAAUGGCCGGGUCACACAAGACAAUUAACCUCUCAUGAAAGGGCAGAGUCAUCAUUCUCUAAGGCAAAUGUAAGAGGUGACAAAAGAGUAUCGAAUGCUCGUAUGAAGAAAGAACUAGGAGUACAGCUGCGACAUCCUAGUUAUAGGUCUGGAUUGCAAAGCAUUCUUGAGCAUCUGGGCCUUUCUAUGAACACCCCUGGGUAAUGUCGCAGAAUCUAAAUGUCCUUGAUUGAUUCAAGACGAUGCUAUUCACAGGUAACACAUACUCCCUCCGUCCCACCCAUUUCUUUACACUUUCAUUUUUGGGUGUCCCAUCCAAUUCUUUACAUUUCAAAACUUACCAAAAAUAGUCAAUGGGUCCCACCACUUCUCCACUUUUCUUUCCUUUUCACACUACUUUUACUCCACAAUCUUCUUUUUUAUACAUUAAAAAUCAAUGGGUCCCACCAUUUUACCCACUUUUCUUCCACUUUAUACAUAUUCCUUAACCUCCAUGCCCAACCCAUUUGAUAAGAAAUGGGUGGGACGGAGGGAGUACAUUUUAGUAAGAAUUUUCUCCUCUCCAGAAUUGGAGACACACUCCGACUUUUCAAGUUAGUUUGUGAAGUUGAACAGUUAUCCUAUUAAUUCAAGGUUUGAGAUUAUGUAGUAAUAAAUACUUCUACACUUCUACCAAGAUGAUACAUUAACGAAUCAUAUGUUAGCAAAUGCGAAUUUGGUAACAUAUUCCUAACAUAGAACAAUGAAAAAAUCCUAGACGGGUUUAGACAAUAUAUCUGUCAAAUCCUAAUACCUAUCUGGAUAAGGAAAAUCCAAAUCCCAGUCAACUUUUUACCUUAACAAGAGCAACAUAUUGGAUGAUACUAAUAAUUUUAUUCUAAUUUAUUGCUUUAUCAUAUUUCUCCUGUCAAUACUAAUAUGAUAAUAUGACAAGACGAACUUCUAAAUUUUUUUUUUCUCAUCAUUAAUACAUGCUUUAAUUUGUUUGCCUGGAAGGAAUUAUCUGGUAGAGGACCUUGUUUUGGAAUUGUGAAAUUUGUCCCAGAAUUAAAAUAAUUUAAAUGAUCACCUUUUUCCCCUUUUGCAGGAAAAGAAGUCCUUUUGUGGAUCCCCUGAUGAGUUUGAAAUAUCAAUCAGGCAGGUGCUCUCAUGGGCUAUACAAUCAGCUUCACAAAGAAAUGCACCUCAUAUGAUUAUCCGUUCAUACAACAAAAUGGUAGAACUUUUAAUAAUAGCGAUGUUAGCAAUCAAAAGAAGGAACUGAGGAAAACAGCAUCGAUUUUCCAUCAGAUGACGAUAUUUAUAACCUGAUUCUGGAAGCUUUUGUUUCAAACUUGUAUGCAAGCCUAAUAUAACACCACCCUCAAAGAGCAUACAUUUUACAGAGAGAAACAAGUCAUGUACUCUUCAGUUCUGCCUGGAUGCAUAAACUCAGCAACUAUCCCUGUAGUUACAAAGGUACAAAAUCCAGCUCACAUGUCUCUAUUUAGACCUAUAUCAUGUUGUAACACUCUUUACAAGUGUAUCUCUAAGCUUUUGGCGGGUCUAAUGAAAUUGUAAUGAUUAGCAUUAUCUCAUCCUGUCAAGCUGCUUUUAUUUCGUGCAGAAAGAUCGGUAAUAAUAUUUGGGAGCUGAUAUGUGCACACCCUCGUUUUUUUAGCGAUAUUGAGAUCAAAUUACUCCUCAUGCACAUCUUAAUCUUUAAAGUAUCUUUAUGCACAUCUUAAUCUUUAAAGUUUAUAAAUCAAAUAUUUUCAAUUACCUCUCUUUUUCCUGAAUUUUGUUAUUAUGGCCCAAAUAAUAUUACAUCACUAAAUUACGUGUAAUUUCGUUGUUGUGGAUGAGAGACCAGAUGUCCAUGCAUAUCUAGAAACUUGAUUGAUCAAAAAAACGACAAGGCAGGCCAUGUAGAAUUACCUGCUUUCUGUUUAUGAGGAAAACCAACACCGCACUAGCUUUAUCCGCUUUUUCAACAGGCCUCCUCACUGUUUUUUCCUAUCUGUUGAACAAGUGAAACAAUUUUGUUUUUUAUGUUAUUAUUCUCUCCAUUUAACUUUUUAAAAAUACGAGUAUCUGUUCUGACCCACCACUGGCCUGGCCUAUUGUGCUCGUGAAAUUGUUAUCGCCCGAAUAGUAAGUAUUACAUCAUGUAAUUACGUGUAUUAUCGUCGUUGUGGAUGACAGACGAUAUGUACAUGCAUAUCUGGAAUCUUGAUAAUAAAAGUGGGGAUUAAUCAGAUAACAAUCAGAGCUUUGGAAACAUACAUUUCAUUUCGGAUUUUAGAUGACUGGAUUUGAGUUAUCAUUUCAAAUUUUCAUAUUUUCAUAAAAUUUGAAUAUUUGGAUCUCAAAAGAAAUAUAAAUUCAAAUUCUCAAACACCUUAUUAGAUCAGAUAUCCAAAUUCAGAUUUCCAAAGAGGUCAUCAGGUAAUUUAUAUAUAAUACUCCCUCCGUCCCUUUGAUUCUAUACAUUUUCUUUUUCGAAAUGUUCCAUUUAAUUUUAUACAUUUCAAAACUUUCUCAAAAUAGUAAAUUUUUAUAAUAUAAAAAUCACACGCACCCACUACUUCUAUCUACUUUUUCAAAUCUAUUAAUUAAAUAUACAUGAAUCCUACCACUUUACCUACUUUUCUUUAUCUUUCUCAUUACUUUACACUACUUUAUACACCUUUCUUAGUCUCCAUGUCCAUUCCAGACGUAUACAUUCCGGAGGGAGUAGUAUUUAAUAUAUUAAUUUAGUUUAAUAUAUAAAAUCAUUUAAAAAAAUUUAUAAUGAUUCUCGAUUUUCAAAAUUUAAUCAGAGAAACAUCUUAUAAUAGAUUAAUCAGGAAUCAUCGGCCGAGUCGGAAAUUUUUUAAACCAUUCCGAUUUAUAAAAUUCCGUCAUCAAAACUUAUGGAUGAUAGGGACUGUUUGUUAUUUACUGUUACUCGAGGUAAGCAGCUGUUAACCUAAUUAGGAUUUAUAUAUUAUUAAAAGUGCUUAAAUAUAAGUUAUUUAGUUAUAUUGAUAUUUAUAUUGAAUAUUUAAUAGUUUAAAGAGGAGUGUUAUUUGGAUUAAAAUAAAAAAAGAUAUUAUAGGGGAAAAAAUAUAAAAUAGAUUUUUUGACACAUUUAUGUCAAAAAUAACGGAAGCUUACUUUCUACUUAAGAAAAUCAAUCAUGUGUCACCCUCCGUUCAAUUUAAUUUUAUACAUUUUUUGCAACUGUUUGACACAUAUUUCAAAACUUUUAUAAAAUACAGUUCUAGAUCCUGUUUUUAACUUUCAUAUUUGUAUUCCGAAACUGAAAAUUUUAAAAUCACUUAUACAAUUAUACUUCCUAUGAGUUUUAAAAUAUAUAUUGUGUCCCUCUCUCACUAGAGUAACAAACAUGAGCUUAAACUAUGACAAUUAAAAUGGAGAUGAUAUAAUUAUCACAGAAUAGUAUUAGUUAGUCAUUUAUUUAUUCACCAAUCAGGUUCAACAAUUUUUUAUCAAAUUAUCUGAACGUGUGACUACUGAGUUAUCAUUUUCGAUAAAAUUAAUUCUAUUAUUUUAAUAGGAAGAAUUGAAAUGUAAAAUGCGGGAGUAGAGGAAUUAUAUAAUUAAUUUUAUAAAUAUUAUUAUUUUUACCGGAUAAUUAUCAAACUCAUGGACAAAUGGUAUCAACUUCAUCACUAAUCUCCACGGAGUCUCAAGCUGCUCACUAAACUCGCUUAAUGGGAUCAAACUCAUCACUGCCGUUAAAAAAAGUAACGGAGGUUAGACGGAGUGACAGAUUGACGGUGGACGUGGAACAUUAAUAAAAAAGACCGAAGAAAAACAAAUGAAAGAAAAUAAAAAAAAAGUAUAAAAUAGAAAUGCCACAUAAUUUGAAGUUUAUAUGGAAAUAAAGUAUGCAAAAUUUUUAUUAAAUUAAUUUUAGGAUAUAAUUAUCUAAAUAAACGUAUCAAACUAAAUUUUAAUAUAUAAUUAACUAAAUAAUUAAGAUUAACUUUUAUGUUUUUUAUUAGAUUAUAAUUAUUUUUGAAUAAUAUUGAAAUGUUUUCUCUUUUAAUAAAUUUUAUUUAUGUGAAUAUUAUUUUUGGCAAAAAAAUAAUUAAAAUUUAUUAAAAGAGAAAACAUUUCAAUAUUAUUCAAAAAUAAUUAUAAUCUAAUAAAAAACAUAAAAGUUAAUCUUAAUUAUUUAGUUAAUUAUAUAUUAAAAUUUAGUUUGAUACGUUUAUUUAGAUAAUUAUAUCCUAAAAUUAAUUUAAUAAAAAUUUUGCAUACUUUAUUUCCAUAUAAACUUCAAAUUAUGUGGCAUUUCUAUUUUCUACUUUUUUUUAUUUUCUUUCAUUUGUUUUUCUUUAUUCUUUUUUAUUAAUAUGCCACGUCAACCGUCAAUCUGUCACUCCGUCUAACUUCCGUUAUUUUUUUUAACGGGAGUGAUGAGCUUGAUACCAUUAAGCGAGUUUAAUGAGUAAUUUGAGACCCCAUAAAGAUCAGUGAUAAAGUUGAUACCAUUUGUACACUUCAGUCAUAGACUUUGAUAAUUAUCAUGCAAGUGUGACAUGGAGGGGAUAUACAUGAAGCUGUAAAGCUGUUGCACCAUGCUAUUGGAAAUCGAAAACUACACUUUGUCCAUUAUAUAUGUCGGUUAGCUCAUUCACAUAUAUCAAUUUAAUAUUGACAAGUUGUUGAGCUUGCACCUAGUGGUGCUUUGAUUUUUUCGGAAAAUAAUAUUAUCCUGUUUUCGAUUAUAAUAAGAUUACACAUGAUUUAUUAUUAUAUUAAACUGAUAUAUUUUAUUUAUAAUAUUUUUAAAUAUUAUAAACAUAUUAUUUUCAAAUUAUAGCUAGUCAAUAUAGUCAAUACUAUUGAAACACAAUGUAUUGCAUGUUCAUCAAAUUUUACAUAAAAUCUUGCAUGUUCAAUUUAGCCAACGAUUAAAUUAACCCCGUUCUUACUGUGACAAAAAUUAAUACUCAUAAUCCAUCCGCUUCUAAUUAAUUGUCAUUUGUUGAUUUGUAAUGAUUAAAUUGACUACAUUACCCUAAAAAUGUUUUACCAUAUAAAUAGUUAAAAAUAGAUUAUUUUCACAUAUUUUCUUUAAAUUUUAGUUUAAUAAUUUAAAUUGUAGAAUGGAUGAGUAGGUACGGAAGAUAGGAGUCGAAAACGCAUUUAAUGCGGUCUACAAGUACUACGUUGGGCAAUUAUGCCACGAAGAGGACGUGCAACAAGCGAAAGAUGACACGUGUUCUUCGAAAUAUACUCUCUGCAGUAUCGAGAUGCCGCUUCUUGUCCACCUCAUCAUUAUCAUCGCUAUCUCCAUACAUUACCUUAGUCAACUUAUGACCAUUUUGUUUCUCUAUUUAAUACAGUAACUAUACUUAACUUCGAGAUUAUUAUAUCCAGGAUUCCUUCCUUUCAUGUUUUGCCCUCAACUUUGGUUUUUGAACAGUUUUAGUCCAUUUUCAAGCAUAACUAUAAUUCAAAAGAUAUUAUUUAAAGACGAAUAUUCACAUUUACCCGCUCGUAUUAGAACUUAUUUUAAUUUUUUGGAAAUGAUUUAAUCCAAAUAUAGUGCAUGAUUAUAUUCAGAAGAAAUCUGGAUUCGAUUAUAUUUUGAUCCAAUAUCAUUCUAAAUAGUAUAAUAAAAAUGAUAUUCAAACGUUAGCGAAUGAUAUCAGACUACUUCAUGAAAAAAUUCACACGAAUUCAAAAAAUAAUAACUAGAUCCACAUCUUAAUAAUCAAAAUUAAUGGGAACCUAUUAUCGAUUAAGAGAAUUCAUACAUCUAUAUAAAAAAAAUGAUAUCAUACCUAUAUUCAAAUUCAAUUCUUAUAUUAUAAGAUGAUUUAGUGAUCAAUUAUAUUGUAUGAGUCGCUUUGUGUAACCCUAGAUAUUAUAAAAGAUAAGUAUCUAAUUAGUACUGCAAACUAACAUUCAUGAUUAAACUGUCUCACAUAAAAUUUAUCCUCGUCAAAAUUAUAUCGACAUCAAUAUUUUUCUAUCAUAUCUAACAUGUAUAUAACACUUCUUUGAUUAAAUAGUAAAUUAUAAAAUCUAGUCUCGUUUUAAAAGUGACAUCAGAUUUUCUAACACGUUCAUAUCGAUCAUGAACCUGGAUCACUUUUGUAACCAAGUUCAUAUCGUCCCUUACAUUUCAUAUAACCCUGACACAACAUGAUCACAUGUACAUGCAUUCAAGUACACCAGAUAGUGCCCCUCAAAUCACAAAGAAAAUAUAUAUGAAAAUGAAAAUCUGUCCCUUGAUAGCAUGAACUUGGCCGUAGUAUGAUACAUUGUUCAUUGAUCUCAUGCUCCUUAGAGCAUCUCCAAUAAAGGUUGCCAAGAGGUUGCCAACUCCUACAUGGCAUGACAAUCUUGGUUGCCUACCUAUUGUAGUUGUAUGGUUGCCAACAAGUUGCCAACCAAAGUUGCCAAAAAUUGGCAACUUCCUCAUAUAGUAAAACCACAUACAUUUCCUCAAAAGUGAAUACAUUUCUACUCAUUUUUGUAUUUUUCAUAUUGUUAUCAUUUAUGAAUGGGACCACAUUAACAAUUUUUAAAGUUGCCAAUUAUUAGAGUAGAUUUUUAACGAAAGUUGCCAAUAGUAAGAUGGAUGAGAGAAGAGAUAAAAUAUUAAUAUAUGAGAUGCUCUUAUUCACAAGAAAAUCAACAACCUCCAAGUACUAACAAAUAAAGCAUAGUAUCAGAUAAAAACAACAGUGCACAAGGCAUAUAAUGUGAACAAUAUGCAUGGUACUUGUGAUGAGUGGCAGAACUGUAAUUUCAAAGAUAACUUCGAGUGACCUCCUUAUUUUGUCUUCUGUGUUAUCAUAACAAUCACAACAAGAAACUACAUUUGGUUCUAUUAACAGAGCUAGAGACUAGAGAGCACUGGGGCAUAUAUUUACACUGUUCUUUUUACCGUGGUUAAAACAAUAGUAAAAGAAGUGAUGUAAAAUGUCGGCAUUUCACAUGUAGUAUAUUAUAGCCUAUAGGGGAUAUGCUUUAAUUCCUUAUUUAAAAGACUCUGGUACCAAAGUACUUGCAUAUUCAGUUUAAUAUUUUGCAACAAAAAACAUUCAGAGAGAAAGAGAGAGAGAGAGAGAGAUGAAGAAUCCAUUGUUAUCUGUAGUGUUAAAGAACUCUGAUGUGGCGUCCUCGACUUCGUAUUGUGUGAAGGAGAGAAGGCCUUGUGUUGGAUGGGUUGAUAAAUAUUUUAAAGAUUGUUUGUGUGACACUAGAGACAAGCUUUCGUUUGCUUCUGGUAUGUUGAGUUUAAUCAGCUGGGGAGUUGCUGAAAUCCCUCAGAUUAUCACCAACUUUCGGUCUAAAUCCAGCCGUGGUGUCUCCCUUUUGUUCCUCCUCACUUGGGUUCUUGGGUAACUCUCUCUCUCUCUCUCUCUCCCUCCCUCCCUCCCUCUCCCUUUCUCCUCUCUCUCUCUCUGACUCUCUCUCCCUCUCUCUCCCUCUCUGACUCUCUCUCUCUCUCUCCCUCCCCCCCUCUCUCCCAUACACACGUGGCGAGUAAAUAAAUUUUCUUGAUUUUUAUGUUAUUAAAAUUCUUGAAAUCUUUAUGGUGCAGUGAUAUCUUUAAUCUGAUCGGGUGUCUUCUUGAACCUGUGACGGUGAGUAUGAUUCACUAUAGUUACAUAAUUUCCUUCCCUUUUUUGUCACACAUGUAUUUACAUAUAUAUGUUCCCAUGUAUAUUAAAUAAAGAUAUCACUGAUUAAUCAUUCUGAUCACACUUUUUUUUAUUAAUGAUGCAGCUCCCAACCCAGUACUACACUGCCCUGGUAUGAAUCCCACUUGUUUCCACAUUUGUUAUUGCAAUUUACUUUAGUAAUAUUUGAAGCAAAAAAUUGAUUUAAUCAGAUUAAAUAGAGGGUUAAUUAGCAUUUUGGUCAGGUUUAAGAGUUGCUUAUGUUCGAAAAAUAGCUAAAAUUUACUUCUAACGACAAAAUUUGAUCACGGUACAGAAAAAAUUAGCCAAACGGGUUCGUUCAAUUCGGCUCGUUUUAAAUUUUGAUGAAAGUGCAUGUUCGGUUUAUUAUUGCGAUAAUUUUGUUGAUUGAACAGCUCUAUACGACAAGUACAGUGAUAUUAGUGCUGCAGUGCCUGUACUAUGAUCAUGUUUAUAGUUGGUGGAAAAGCAAAAAAGUGGAUGCUAAUCAACCGGUGCAAAUUUCUCUCCCCUCUUCUAGCAUUUCGAUCAGAAUGGUCUUUAUCGUGUUGUUUUUACUUGUCUGAUCAUAAAUUUUAUAUGUUUGACAGAUUGAAGAUGUGAAGAAACCUCUAAAACCAGCAAAGGAAAAUGAUGACGAUGAUUCUGCAAUUCCAACUACUGAUGAAGGCAAAAUCAACAGUAACUUCUAUUUCACGUAUGUGGGAAUUUUAGAUUCUUUUUAAAUAGUGUGAGGAAUGCUGAUUGUUUUUUACUUGUUAGUCUUGAAAAUAUUUGUUUAUUUUUGUACUAAAGUUCCUAUCUCUAUGAUUUUCAUAUAUUAAUAGAGACUCUGGAUAAUGAAUUUGCAGAUCAGCACGAUCUUUGGCGGGCAGUGCUACACCACCUAAUCGGUCUUAUCUAUGGACUGCAAGAAGUGGUCCUUCAGCAUUGACACUUGACGGGGACUCAUCUUCUGAUGAUGAGGUGGAUGCUGCUGUAAUGACGAACAAGAAAUCCAAAACCCAACCAAAGCCAAUCCCCCGUUCUGUGAGUUAUUACAUACUAGUUACAACUAAUUGGACUUAUUAUGUAUGUGCCUUGUAAUAUGAUUAAGAAACGUUUUUUUUCUAUUCAGACGUUUAAUGCCAGGUUAAGAAAUGUAGCAUUUAAUAGAUAUAGCAUUGAUAUAUUCGAAGCGGAUUUGCAAACAUACUGUGUGUGUAACUGUGUAUGAGGAUGAUUAUCGAUGCAUAUACCUAUUAGUGCACACUUAUAUAUAUUUCAUAAGUAAUACGACGUAUCAUGUAUUACCAGGCUGGUUAUGGUGCAUUUCUAGCUACUUCACUCAACCUGCCAAGAAGCACCAAAGCUCUACUCCAAGCUUCCGUAGCAUUUAGUGGGAGGAAACUCUUACAAGUAAGACGACAAUCAACAUUUAUUUCCAGAGUAGGCAUACUUUUUUCAAUGAAUUGCCUUUGAAUGAUAAUGAUUAAUGUAUAUCGUUUGACAAAUCAUCUGAGCAGGGGAAUGCAGAUACAGAAAAAUUUGUGGUUGGCCAGUGCUUAGGUUGGAUGAUGGCUGCUGUAUACAUGGGUGGCCGAAUCCCUCAAAUUUACUUAAAUGUGAGUGCCUAGACAAUCCACAGUUCACAGCUGAAUACGCAACUUUCUUCAUUCGAGCAAUUGUACUUCUAUAACUACUUCUACAUUGCCUUUCCUGACAUUUAUAUAUUGGAUUUAUUUUUCAGAUUAAACGAGGAAGCGUUGAGGUAAAUACUUAACCCACGAAUAUGAAAUAUAAUAUACAUCAAAACCGAUUUGUAGCUGAUCUGAAUAUAAUCAAUGAUGACGAUUUAAAUCUUUCAAAUUAAUCUUCUUUACACCUGACAUGUAGGGACUGAAUCCUCUCAUGUUUAUCUUUGCACUCAUUGCCAAUGUCACUUAUGUGGGAAGGUGCAUUUCUUAUAUAUAAAUCUUCAUUCUCUUUUCAGAAUCCUUGCUUCACUUUCAGUUGCACUUACUAUUAUUUUGCCUGUCAAUGAUUUCAGCAUUCUCAUACGAAGCACGGAAUGGGAUAAAAUAAAGGCCAAUAUGCCAUGGUUGUUAGAUGCAGUAGUCUGCGUUGGACUCGACUUGUUUGUAUCCUCCUCUAAUUCUUAUAAAUUUUACUUAUACUUCGAAACUUUAUGCAUUCAUAUUCCCCACCCACACACAACAGAUAUUUCUGACAAACAUUCAUUCUCUAUGACACAUCUGCUGCUCUUACUACUUGCAGGCCUUUAUUACCCGAAUAAAUUUCUAUCACUGUUUUUCGUCUUUUUGAUGUUUUGUCUCAACUUCGAAAUAACUGCAUUCACCUUAUGCCUCAGACAUGAUGCAUAUGACAAGUUGUGUUCUUAACAUAGAUUACCACAGAUAAUAUUACAGUACAUCUACUACAGAUACCUCGGGAAGCGGACUGCUGGUGGGGGAGGACAGGAUGAUGACUAUUCGGAGAGCCCAUGAAACAAUGAUGCAGAAUGUUCCUGGCUCUUCAUUGCUUGCUGAUGAAGGCUACAGAGAUGAGAAAUCGCAUGAAUAAAUUAGUUUGUCUGGUGUAGCAGCUUUAAACUAGUUAGAG
rnacentral:lncRNA from 1 species